rnacentral:rRNA from 1 species
GACAUGCCACUAACGAAGACAGAGAUGCAUUAGGUGCUCGAAAGAGAAAGUGGACACAGGUGCUGCAUGGCUGUCGUCAGCUCGUGUCGUGAGAUGUUGGGUUAAGUCCCGCAACGAGCGCAACCCUUGUCUCUAGUUGCUACGAAAGGGCACUCUAGAGAGACUGCCGGUGACAAACCGGAGGAAGGUGGGGAUGACGUCAAGUCCUCAUGGCCCUUAUGGGUAGGGCUUCACACGUCAUACAAUGGUGCAUACAGAGGGUUGCCAAGCCGCGAGGUGGAGCUAAUCCCAGAAAAUGCAUCGUAGUCCGGAUCGCAGUCUGCAACUCGACUGCGUGAAGUCGGAAUCGCUAGUAAUCGUGAAUCAGAAUGUCACGGUGAAUACGUUCCCGGGCCUU